rnacentral:lncRNA from 1 species
AAAGCCUGAGGAGACUUGGACCAUUUUCCUAAGGGAUGAAGCGGGAAACGUUUAUUAACCAGAGCCAGAUUGAGACCUUAAUAAUAAAAAGAUAUGGGUCCAACCCAUAGGUCACUCCAAAUGGCAUCAACACUAAACCAUAAAUAAGCGUUAACAAAGUGCAAAGUUCUAAAUUUUCGCAUAGCUACUUCAAGUCCUCUCUUUUUUAAACAUUAUUCUUAUGUGGCUCACCCGUCACUAAUGCUCAGUGUGCCUCUUGGGUGGCUCAGCAGUGGGAAGUCCACUUUCAGCCUAACUACUCCUAACAAUGAAGCUGUUCUCCAGAGAGCAAGAAUAGCCAGCCACAUGCCCCCUUCUCUGCUUUUUCAUCCCCCUCCAUCUGAUUCAAUGGCGGUGUCCCUGGCUGCAGGCUUCAGUAUGCUUCAAGCCAAGCGCAGCUCAGCUGCCAGUCUGAGAACAACCAGGACCAGCAAGCCACAGAGGGACACGCUGGUGCAGAAUGCCUGGCCAAGAGGCAUGAGUUUUACUUACAGCCUCCCAUUCUAAUUUAAUGCAGCUCAACAGGCUGAGAAUGGAUAAUCUCACUGCAGUAUUCCAUAAUAGGCUUGGAUUAAAACCAGGGACAAUGGGCAGCAAUAGGCCAUAGGUUAAGCAGCAGCAACUAGUCACCACUGGACUGUCUUCUUCUCCCCUUCCCCAUAUCCCACAUUCUCCUAAACAUGAUGUACGUGUAGCAACAGUCUUUUAAAGUCAGAUGGUCAGACUAAUUAUUUUUACAAUUUAAGUGUAAGUGAUGUACAUGAAUGGACUCUGUGAAUCGGAAAACUUACGUAACAGCAGAGAAUACGUAUGUUAUAUGGAACAACCUGAGUUGAAGGUACAAUUUUUUUUCCAGCUCUUUUAUUCCUUUAACUGCUUAACAAAAGAAAGAGUCUCCAAAGUUUAAAAAACCUUUGAAAAAUAUACAGCUUGAUAUUAUUUACAUAAAAUAUGAAUCCAGGUUCCAAUAUCAAACAAACAUUGCUAUGUCAGAAACACAGUGGAAGGCAGGAACGUAACUCACUGCCUUUUAGAUGCAAAGACUAAUAGACACGUUCUCCUAUCUCGACUAUCUUUGUUACCUGUUAUCCUCAAACAUAAAUUAUUAGGCACCUGAGAGGUUGGAAGACUACCGAAAAUGAACUUCAUACCUUCUGUAUGAUUAUUAUCUUAAAAAGUUACCGCAUUUUUAAUCUCUUUUAUAACUUUACUUCAUCUACAACUAACUUCACUUUCAUUAUCCCAAAUGAUCAGGUAUUAAUUACAUGAACUGUUAAUGUAUACACAGACCUAAAAAUCAAACAAAAAUGUAUUGCCCAGUUGUGUAGGAUAUAUAUUUGAACCCCAUGACAUUUCCUAGUGCUUUGUGAGCAAUCCAAAUUUCACUUAAAAGAGAGGUGUCAAUUCUGCCCAUGCUCUGGACUAUGUUUUUAAAAAACAUACAAAAAAGACUGACAAUAAUUGAUCUCUUAUAAAUUAAUCAAGAAACCUAAGAUUAAAAAUUCUAAAUUACAA